GAUGAACGCUGGCGGCGUGCCUAAUACAUGCAAGUCGAGCGAACGGACGAGAAGCUUGCUUCUCUGAUGUUAGCGGCGGACGGGUGAGUAACACGUGGAUAACCUACCUAUAAGACUGGGAUAACUUCGGGAAACCGUAGCUAAUACCGGAUAAUAUUUUGAACCGCAUGGUUCAAAAGUGAAAGACGGUCUUGCUGUCACUUAUAGAUGGAUCCGCGCUGCAUUAGCUAGUUGGUAAGGUAACGGCUUACCAAGGCAACGAUGCAUAGCCGACCUGAGAGGGUGAUCGGCCACACUGGCACUGAGACACGGUCCAGACUCCGACGGGAGGCAGCAGUAGGGAAUCUUCCGCGAGGGGCGAGAGCCUGACGGAGCAACGCCGCGUGAGUGAUGAAGGUCUUCGGAUCGUAAAACUCUGUUAUUAGGGAAGAACAAAUGUGUAAGUACCUGUGCACAUCUUGACGGUACCUAAUCAGAAAGCCACGGCUAACUACGUG
rnacentral:rRNA from 1 species